AUUGAACGCUGGCGGCAUGCCUUACACAUGCAAGUCGAACGGUAACAGGGCUUCGGAUGCUGACGAGUGGCGAACGGGUGAGUAAUACAUCGGAACGUGCCUAGUAGUGGGGGAUAACUACUCGAAAGAGUGGCUAAUACCGCAUGAGAUCUACGGAUGAAAGCAGGGGAUCGCAAGACCUUGUGCUACUAGAGCGGCCGAUGGCAGAUUAGGUAGUUGGUGGGAUAAAAGCUUACCAAGCCGACGAUCUGUAGCUGGUCUGAGAGGACGAUCAGGCACACUGGGACUGAGACACGGCCCAGACUCCGACGGGAGGCAGCAGUGGGGAAUUUUGGACAAUGGGCGAAAGCCUGAUCCAGCAAUGCCGCGUGCAGGAUGAAGGCCUUCGGGUUGUAAACUGCUUUUGUACGGAACGAAAAGCCCCGGGUUAAUACCCUGGGGUCAUGACGGUACCGUAAAAAUAAGCACCGGCUAACUACGUGCCAGCAGCCGCCGUAA
rnacentral:rRNA from 1 species